rnacentral:rRNA from 1 species
GACGAACGCUGGCGGCGUGCUUAACACAUGCAAGUCGAACGGUAAGGCCCUUCGGGGUACACGAGUGGCGAACGGGUGAGUAACACGUGGGUGAUCUGCCCUGCACUUCGGGAUAAGCCUGGGAAACUGGGUCUAAUACCGGAUAGGACUCCGGACUGCAUGGUCUGGGGUGGAAAGCUUUUGCGGUGUGGGAUGGGCCCGCGGCCGAUCAGCUUGCUGGUGGGGUGAUGGCCUACCAAGGCGACGACGGGUAGCCGGCCUGAGAGGGUGACCGGCCACACUGGGACUGAGAUACGGCCCAGACUCCUACGGGAGGCAGCAGUGGGGAAUAUUGCACAAUGGGCGCAAGCCUGAUGCAGCGACGCCGCGUGAGGGAUGACGGCCUUCGGGUUGUAAACCUCUUUCAGCAUCGACGAAGCGAAAGUGACGGUAGGUGCAGAAGAAGGACCGGCCAACUACGUGCCAGCCGCCGCAGUAA